rnacentral:rRNA from 1 species
GUGUCAGCAGCCGCGGUAAUACCGGCAGUCCGAGUGAUGGCCGAUCUUAUUGGGCCUAAAGCGUCCGUAGCUGGCCGGGCAAGUCCGUUGGGAAAUCUGCUCGCUCAACGAGCAGGCGUCCAGCGGAAACUGUUCGGCUUGGGACCGGAAGACCUGAGGGGUACGUCCGGGGUAGGAGUGAAAUCCUGUAAUCCUGGACGGACCGCCGAUGGCGAAAGCACGUCGCGAGGACGGAUCCGACAGUGAGGGACGAAAGCCAGGGUCUCGAACAGGAUUAGAUACCCCCGUAGUCC